CUUUUCUCGUUCAAACAGAGUACCCAUACGCAGUAGCAGCGACCAAAGAUCCCCCCACGGCGGCGGACCAAAUCCCUCAACCAAGCUGGGCGACUACGCACAGAGGAGCCUCCCAUCUCAGGCUCCGGCAACGUCUGGUCCGUCGCCUCCUCUCUAUCACAGGAGAUCGGAGCUCGCGUCCUUCUCCACCUCGUCGGCUGCAAGCCCGUGGUCAACUCCUCGUCUCCUUCACCACCGGCCCGUGUGACGUGGUGCGAGCCUACAAGGUGUCACCAUGGUAUGAUCUCUCCCACUACAAGAAGCUCGAUGAGCAAUAAGCACCGGGAUCCCAUAAGCACUAGUAACGGAGGCAAAGGCUAUAGCUUUUCUGUUGUAUACAGUUUGGCAAUGCUUGUUGAACAAUGAUUAUUUUACUCCUUCAUAUUUAGCGUGGGCUGUGAUGUAUAAAAAUUGAUCAUCUCAUGCUAUGUAACACUUGAUAUGUAUGUGUCUCUUCUGCUGUGUUUGGUCUAGGAUCUGUGCAAUUUGAAACGUAUGUUUGG